GGUAGUUGGUGGGGUAAAGGCCCACCAAGCCGACGAUCUGUAGCUGGUCUGAGAGGACGACCAGCCACACUGGAACUGAGACACGGUCCAGACUCCUACGGGAGGCAGCAGUGGGGAAUUUUGGACAAUGGGCGCAAGCCUGAUCCAGCAAUGCCGCGUGCAGGAUGAAGGCCUUCGGGUUGUAAACUGCUUUUGUACGGAGCGAAAAGGCUCUCACUAAUACUGGGGGCUCAUGACGGUACCGUAAGAAUAAGCACCGGCUAACUACGUGCCAGCAGCCGCGGUAACACGUAGGGUGCGAGCGUUAAUCGGAAUUACUGGGCGUAAAGCGUGCGCAGGCGGUUAUAUAAGACAGAUGUGAAAUCCCCGGGCUCAACCUGGGACCUGCAUUUGUGACUGUAUAGCUAGAGUACGGCAGAGGGGGAUGGAAUUCCGCGUGUAGCAGUGAAAUGCGUAGAUAUGCGGAGGAACACCGAUGGCGAAGGCAAUCCCCUGGGCCUGUACUGACGCUCAUGCACGAAAGCGUGGGGAGCAAACAGGAUUAGAUACCCUGGUAGUCCACGCCCUAAACGAUGUCAACUGGUUGUUGGGUCUUCACUGACUCAG
rnacentral:rRNA from 1 species